rnacentral:rRNA from 1 species
GUGUCAGCCGCCGCGGUAAAACCAGCACCUCAAGUGGUCAGGAGGAUUAUUGGGCCUAAAGCAUCCGUAGCCUGCUCUGUAAGUUUCCGGUUAAAUCCAUUAGCUUAACUGAUGGGCCGCCGGAAAAACUGCAAAGCUAGGGAGUGGGAGAGGUAGACGGUACUCGGUAGGAAGGGGUAAAAUCCUUUGAUCUAUUGAUGACCACCAGUGGCGAAGGCGGUCUACCAGAACACGUUCGACGGUGAGGGAUGAAAGCUGGGGGAGCAAACCGGAUUAGAUACCCGGGUAGUCCCAGCUGUAAACGAUGCAGACUCGGUGAUGCCCUGGCUUGUGGCCAGUGCAGUGCCGCAGGGAAGCCGUUAAGUUUGCCGCCUGGGAAGUACGUACGCAAGUAUGAAACUUAAAGGAAUUGGCGGGGGAGCACCACAAGGGGUGAAGCCUGCGGUUCAAUUGGAGUCAACGCCAGAAAUCUUACCCGAGGAGACAGCAGAAUGAAGGUCAAGCUGGAGACUUUACCAGACAAGCUGAGAAGUGGUGCAUGGCCGUCGCCAGCUCGUGCCGUGAGAUGUCCUGUUAAGUCAGGUAACGAGCGAGAUCCCUGCCUCUAGUUGCCACCAUUACUCUCAGGAGUAGUGGGGCGAAUUAGCGGGACCGCCACAGUUAAUGUGGAGGAAGGAAGGGGCCACGGCAGGUCAGUAUGCCCUGAAACCUUGGGGCCACACGCGGGCUGCAAUGAUAGUGACAAUGAGUUCCUAAACCGAAAGGUGGAGGCAAUCUUCAAACGCUAUCACAGUUAUGAUUGAGGGCUGCAACUCGCCCUCAUGAAUAUGGAAUCCCUAGUAACUGCGUGUCAUUACCGCGCGGUGAAUACGUCCCUGCUCCUUGCACACACCGCCCGUC